UCCGAGUUGGCCCCGGCAGUCUCCUACGAGUCCCCGGCAUUACCCGCUGGCAACAUAGGACAAGGGUUGCGCUCGUUGCGGGACUUAACCCAACAUCUCACGACACGAGCUGACGACAGCCAUGCAGCACCUGUGUUCCGAUUCCCUUUCGGGCACACCGCGAUCUCUCGCGGCUCUCGGACAUGUCAAGGGUAGGUAAGGUUUUUCGCGUUGCAUCGAAUUAAUCCACAUAAUCCACCGCUUGUGCGGGUCCCCGUCAAUUCCUUUGAGUUUUAACCUUGCGGCCGUACUCCCCAGGCGGUCAACUUCACGCGUUAGCUUCGUUACUAGGGGAGUUAAUCCCCCAACAACUAGUUGACAUCGUUUAGGGCGUGGACUAC
rnacentral:misc_RNA from 1 species